rnacentral:rRNA from 1 species
UGAGGAAUAUUGGUCAAUGGGCGCAAGCCUGAACCAGCCAUCCCGCGUGCAGGAUGACGGCCCUAUGGGUUGUAAACUGCUUUUAUACAGGAAGAAAAAUCUCUACGUGUAGGGACUUGCCGGUACUGUAUGAAUAAGCAUCGGCUACUCCGUGCCAGCAGCCGCGGUAAUACGGAGGAUGCAAGCGUUAUCCGGAUUCAUUGGGUUUAAAGGGGGCGUAGGCGGCUUUUUAAGUCAGUGGUGAAAUCCUGUCGCUCAACGAGAGAAUUGCCAUUGAUACGGAAAAGCUUGAGUUCAGUUGAGGUAAGCGGAAUUUGUAGUGUAGCGGUGAAAUGCUUAGAUAUUACACAGAACACCGAUUGCGAAGGCAGCUUACUAAACUGACACUGACGCUGAUGCACGAAAGCGUGGGGAUCGAACA